rnacentral:rRNA from 1 species
UAGGGAAUCUUCGGCAAUGGGGGGAACCCUGACCGAGCAACGCCGCGUGAGUGAAGAAGGUUUUCGGAUCGUAAAGCUCUGUUGUUAAGGAAGAACGAGUGUGAGAAUGGAAAGUUCAUACUGUGACGGUACUUAACCAGAAAGGGACGGCUAACUACGUGCCAGCAGCCGCGGUAAUACGUAGGUCCCGAGCGUUGUCCGGAUUUAUUGGGCGUAAAGCGAGCGCAGGCGGUUAGAUAAGUCUGAAGUUAAAGGCAGUGGCUCAACCAUUGUAGGCUUUGGAAACUGUUUAACUUGAGUGCAGAAGGGGAGAGUGGAAUUCCAUGUGUAGCGGUGAAAUGCGUAGAUAUAUGGAGGAACACCGGUGGCGAAAGCGGCUCUCUGGUCUGUAACUGACGCUGAGGCCCGAAAGCGUGGGGAGCGAACAGG